rnacentral:rRNA from 1 species
GACGAACGCUGGCGGCGUGCUUAACACAUGCAAGUCGAACGGAAAGGCCCUGCUUUUGUGGGGUGCUCGAGUGGCGAACGGGUGAGUAACACGUGAGUAACCUGCCCUAGACUUUGGGAUAACUUCAGGAAACUGGGGCAAAUACCGGAUAGGAGCUCCUGCUGCAUGGUGGGGGUUGGAAAGUUUCGGCGGUUGGGGAUGGACUCGCGGCUUAUCAGCUUGUUGGUGGGGUAGUGGCUUACCAAGGCUUUGACGGGUAGCCGGCCUGAGAGGGUGACCGGCCACAUUGGGACUGAGAUACGGCCCAGACUCCUACGGGAGGAAGCAGUGGGGAAUAGUGCACAAUGGGCGGAAGCCUGAUGCAGCAACGCCGCGUGCGGGAUGACGGCCUUCGGGUUGUAACCCGCUUUCGCCUGUGACGAAGCGUGAGUGACGGUAAUGGGUAAAGAAGCACCGGCUAACUACGUG